CACUGCCGCAGAAGCAUCGGGCCAUGUCUGCCUGCGGAAACCAGUCUUGGAAAACGUCCUCUGAGACCGGACCCAGCACAGGAUGGCCUCAAAUGGGGUGGAUGGAAUGGCUGUGUGCUGGUUAAUAAAACUUGGUUUUCGAGCGUUUCCCUGCCCCAGGAGGGCAGUGGGCCCCAUGUCCAAUUCAUCAAAUGCCUAAUGAGUGGCCUCGGAGGUCCCGGCCCGUCCAUUCCAGAAGCUCUCUCUGCCUCGUAAAGGCGCUCUUGCCUUCGCCAAGUUGUCGGGACCCUGUCAGCUACAGGCAGGAGCUGGGCUGCCUGGGUUGUGUCUGCCCCAACGUGGAUGGGAAGCUGGAGUCUGAGCAGCAGGAGCUCGAAGGACACGCAGCAGCUCAGGGCCUGGGAGCCCGAGAGACGCGCUGAAGGUUGCAGGAAUGGGGCCCGUUGGUCGCUGGGUUGUGGGGUCCCCAGGCCAGAGGCCUCCCAAAUUUCCACAUGGCAGCCUGGCCGGGUCCGGGUUCCUCCCGUCUGGAUUGAGCCUCCGGAAGUCGCCGGGCCUUUAAUUAAGCACUGCGGCGGGACGAGCGGCCGUUGCUGAGAAGUGACGCCACACGACCUGCGACUUUUUCUUCCCUUCCUUCCGGCGACGCCUUGAGCACCAGAGGGAAGGAGCCUGGAGGGGAGGUCAUGCUGGCUCUGCAGGCAGUGGAAGGAGAUGGGAGGCUGUCUUGGAGGGUUCUUUGUGAUACCCUCUGCGUUUUAUCACCUACUGGGCCCUGAAGCCGGGGCACAGGCCCCGUCCAAACAGUUGGCUGGGGUUUGGGGACUUCUUUUAAUACCUGGAAUGUGGAGAGGUGAGACGUCUCCCAGGCUGUGGGUCAGAGGCUAGGAUGGCUGUCCCUCUUCCACAGGUUCCUUCUGUGGAAGAGGAGGAUUCUGGAAGGUUUCGGAGGCUGAAGGAGGCGUCUAUGGCUGGCUUACCCACGGGUAGGCUGGCACCAACCGACACCUCCCUCCUUCUACGUGGGGAAGACACAGUGCAGAUUGCAUGGCUCUCAGCAGGGACCUCAAAGUGCCCACAUGCUCCAGAAUUUUCACCCCAGCCUUGCACACCCCUGUAUGUUCCCACUGGGUUGAAGGAUUUCAUGGCAUGUGGGUCGCUGGCUUAGAGUACCCCCACAGGGGGCCACAAGCGGCUGUUCUGAUUGGGGCUUGGGGGAGGUAGGUUCAGUUCACCGCCGUGAAGACCCUCAACUCAGGACUGGCCUCUCUCAGUUGGCCCCAGUUCCACCCAAGGCGGCCGGAGCACCCGUGCAGGAUUUCCCGCAAGGAGCUGGCCUGCUCCCCCGCACACCCUUCUUACCGGGCACUCAUUGUACAUUAGAUUAUCUUUUGAAAAUAUACUUUGAAGGGUUUUUGUUUUGUUUUGUUUUUCCUACUUGACACUCUUGAAUCAAAUAGGCCAUUUAUCUUUUAGGCAGAAGAAUUUCAGCAGUUACACAGCACGCUCACUGGAGGAUUGCAGGCUGAAAGAAGAGAGCUAGUGAUUUUGCCAGCUUCCUGGAUGUUCAUUCUGGUUCUGCACAAAGAGCCACAUUUCCUUCUGGAUUCGGGACCAGGACACAGACAGACAGCAGCAGACACUGGAAACUGUUGUGAGGAUUUGAGAUUGUGAAUGAGAAGGCUAGGCCCCGAGCAUGUGUGGGAUGGAGGAUUAGGUCACAGCCGUCUGUGGGCCAGUUCCCGGAGCCCAGGAACAAAUGGGCAGAGGGGCUGCUUGGCAUCACAUCUCGGCCAGCUACGAGCGGGGCGACCCCGGAUGUUAGCAGACGUCACUCAAGCAGAAGCUUGGAGAAAUGCUUAACCCGUGUCCACUAGUCCUCGUGUGCCUCUGCUGUCCCUGUGAGCAGGGCCUGAGCUGCUGGGCUGAGGAAGGACGGGAGACGCCCAUUCAUCCCAACAGAGCUACAGAUGUCAGAACGACCAGAGAGGACUUGGACAGACCGCCUCCAUUCUGCUGUUCCCGGAAGGACAGUGUUAGUGGUUACGAACGGCUGUAUUCUUGGGGGCGCUUUCGCCGCUCACAUCAUCCGGACAGCUGUCUGUUUCCACGGUGAGAGUUGCAAAGCUUCCCAUUUAAAGAUCCAUCUGGUUCUUACAUCAAGCUGAGCCCUGAUCUUAAGGCGCAAGCCCAAACACACUGGGGAGAUGCAAAAAUUUAGGAACGAGCGUGUUUAUAUUGUGUUUGCAUUAAUGCUUCCUAGAGUUUAUUUUCAAAGUGAAGAAAGAACAAUGCAUAGUAGG